ACAGUAACGGAAAGUCAUUUAUCAAUUUCCAAAAGAUGAUUUUAUAUUCCUCUUUUUAGUCAACUUUAGCAUGGGUGCCAACACUUUUGACCAUCACUGUAUA